rnacentral:rRNA from 1 species
UACGGAGGGGACUAGCGUUGUUCGGAAUUACUGGGCGUAAAGCGCACGUAGGCGGCUUGGUAUGUCGGGUGUGAAAUCUCCGGGCUCAACCCGGGAACUGCAUCCGAAACUGCCUUGCUCGAGUGUGGGAGAGGGAAGUGGAAUUUCCGGUGUAGCGGUGAAAUGCGUAGAUAUCAGAAGGAACAUCAGUGGCGAAGGCAGCCAUCUGGACCGACACUGACGCUGAGGCGCGAAAGCGUGGGGAGCAAACAGG